rnacentral:rRNA from 1 species
GGAUAUUGGGCGUAAGGGCUCGCAGGCGGUUUCUUAAGUCUGAUGUGAAAGCCCCCGGCUCAACCGGGGAGGGUCAUUGGAAACUGGGAAACUUGAGUGCACAAGAGGAGAGUGGAAUUCCACGUGUAGCGGUGAAAUGCGUAGAGAUGUGGAGGAACACCAGUGGCGAAGGCGACUCUCUGGUCUGUAACUGACGCUGAGGAGCGAAAGCGUGGGGAGCGAACAGGAUUAGAUACCCUGGUAGUCCACGCCGUAAACGAUGAGUGCUAAGUGUUAGGGGGUUUCCGCCCCUUAGUGCUGCAGCUAACGCAUUAAGCACUCCGCCUGGGGAGUACGGUCGCAAGACUGAAACUCAAAGGAAUUGACGGGGGCCCGCACAAGCGGUGGAGCAUGUGGUUUAAUUCGAAGCAACGCGAAGAACCUUACCAGGUCUUGACAUCCUCUGACAACCCUAGAGAUAGGGCUUUCCCUUCGGGGACAGAGUGACAGGUGGUGCAUGGUUGUCGUCAGCUCGUGUCGUGAGAUGUUGGGUUAAGUCCCGCAACGAGCGCAACCCUUGAUCUUAGUUGCCAGCAUUCAGUUGGGCACUCUAAGGUGACUGCCGGUGACAAACCGGAGG